UUACGGUCAUAUCAAGUUGAAACGCGUGUUCCCGUAUGAUCACCGAAGUUAAGCAACGCCUGGUCUCGUCAGUUCCAACAUGGGUGACCGCUUCGGAAUACCAGUUGAAG